UAGUGGCGGACGGGUGAGUAACGCGUGAACAAUCUGCCCUGUACAAAGGAAUAGCCUCGGGAAACCGGGAUUAAAACCGUAUGACACUUUUUUGCCGCAUGGUAGUAAAGUCAAAUAUUUCAUAGGUAUGGGAUGAGUUCGCGUCUGAUUAGCUAGUUGGUAAGGUAACGGCUUACCAAGGCGACGAUCAGUAGCCGGCCUGAGAGGGUGAACGGCCACACUGGAACUGAGACACGGUCCAGACUCCUACGGGAGGCAGCAGUGGGGAAUAUUGCACAAUGGAGGGAACUCUGAUGCAGCGACGCCGCGUGAGUGAAGAAGGUCUUCGGAUCGUAAAACUCUGUCCUUGGUGAAGAAAAGGACGGUAGCCAAGGAGGAAGCCCCGGCUAACUACGUGCCAGCAGCCGCGGUAAUACGUAGGGGGCGAGCGUUGUCCGGAUUUACUGGGCGUAAAGGGUGAGUAGGCGGUUAUAUAUGUCAGGUGUAAAAGGCUAUGGCUUAACCAUGGUUAGCACUUGAAACUGUAUGACUUGAGUGCAGGAGAGGUAAGCGGAAUUCCUAGUGUAGCGGUGAAAUGCGUAGAUAUUAGGAGGAACACCAGUGGCGAAGGCGGCUUACUGGACUGUAACUGACGCUGAGUCACGAAAGCGUGGGUAGCAAACAGGAUUAGAUACCCUGGUAGUCCACGCUGUAAACGAUGAGUGCUAGGUGUUGGGUAGCGAUACUCAGUGCCGGAGUCAACACAAUAAGCACUCCGCCUGGGGAGUACGGUCGCAAGACUGAAACUCAAAGGAAUUGACGGGGACCCGCACAAGCAGCGGAGCAUGUGGUUUAAUUCGAAGCAACGCGAAGAACCUUACCAAGGCUUGACAUCCCCUUGACCGGUGCAGAGAUGUACCCUCCUCUUCGGAGGCAAGGGAGACAGGUGGUGCAUGGUUGUCGUCAGCUCGUGUCGUGAGAUGUUGGGU
rnacentral:rRNA from 1 species